UACGGGGGGAGCAAGCGUUGUUCGGAUUUACUGGGCGUAAAGGGCGCGUAGGCGGUCAGCACAAGUCAGUUGUGAAAUCUCCGGGCUUAACCCGGAAAGGUCAAUCGAUACUGCAGGGCUAGAGUGCGGAAGGGGCAACUGGAAUUCUCGGUGUAGCGGUGAAAUGCGUAGAUAUCGAGAGGAACACCUGCGGCGAAGGCGGGUUGCUGGGCCGACACUGACGCUGACAGCGCGAAAGCUAGGGGAGCAAACGGG
rnacentral:rRNA from 1 species